AGGGAAUUGGUGAAAUGGUAUCACACCGGAAUUUGACUCCGUCAUUUCUAGUUCGAAUCUAGGAUUCCCUGCCA
rnacentral:tRNA from 1 species